GCUUCCUUAGCUCAGUCGGUAGAGCGCCAGUCUCAUAUUUGUACACUGAGGGACUGUUGUCUCAUAAUCUGGAGGUCACAACUUCGAGCCUUGCAGGGAGCA